GACGAACGCUGGCGGCGUGCUUAACACAUGCAAGUCGAACGAUGACGAAAAGAAUUGAAGCUUCGGCAGACAUUCAUUUCGGAUUAGUGGCAGACGGGAGAGUAACGCGUGAGCAACCUACCUCUUACAAAGGGAUAGCCUCGGGAAACCGGGAUUAAUACCAUAUAACAUUGCGACGAAGCAUCUCGAUGCACUCAAAGCUACGGCGGUAAGAGAUGGGCUCGCGUCCCAUUAACCAGAUGGUGAGGUAACGGCUCACCAUAGUAACGAUGGGUAACCGGGCUGAGAGGGUGAACGGUCACACUGGAACUGAGACACGGUCCAGACUCCUACGGGAGGCAGCAGUGGGGAAUAUUGCACAAUGGAGGGAACUCUGAUGCAGCGACGCCGCGUGAGUGAUGAAGGAAUUCGUUACGUAAAACUCUGUUCUAUGGGAAGAAAAGGACUGUACCAUAGGAGAAAGCACCGGCUAAAUACGUG
rnacentral:rRNA from 1 species